rnacentral:rRNA from 1 species
GUAGUCAUAUGCUUGUCUCAAAGAUUAAGCCAUGCAUGUCUAAGUAUAAGCAAUUAUACCGUGAAACUGCGAAUGGCUCAUUAAAUCAGUUAUCGUUUAUUUGAUAGUACCUUACUACUUGGAUAACCGUGGUAAUUCUAGAGCUAAUACAUGCUGAGAACCCCAACUUCGGAAGGGGUGUAUUUAUUAGAUAAAAAACCAAUGCCCUUCGGGGCUCCUUGGUGAUUCAUAAUAACUUCUCAGAUCGCAUGGCCUUGCGCCGGCGACGGUUCAUUCAAAUUUCUGCCCUAUCAACUUUCGAUGGUAAGGUAUUGGCUUACCAUGGUUUCAACGGGUAACGGGGAAUUAGGGUUCGAUUCCGGAGAGGGAGCCUGAGAAACGGCUACCACAUCCAAGGAAGGCAGCAGGCGCGCAAAUUACCCAAUCCCGACACGGGGAGGUAGUGACAAUAAAUAAUGAUACAGGGCUCUUUUGGGUCUUGUAAUUGGAAUGAGUACAAUUUAAACCUCUUAACGAGGAACAAUUGGAGGGCAAGUCUGGUGCCAGCAGCC